AGUACGAGAGGACCGGGAUGGACGCACCGCUGGUGUACCAGUUGUCUUGCCAAAGGCAUAGCUGGGUAGCUACGUGCGGACGGGAUAAGUGCUGAAAGCAUCUAAGCAUGAAGCCCCCCUCAAGAUGAGAUUUCCUUUUGCUUCGGCAAGUAAGAUCCCUGAAAGAUGAUCAGGUAGAUAGGUUCGAGGUGGAAGCGUGGCGACACGUGCAGCUGACGAAUACUAAUCGAUCGAGGACUUAACCCAAUU
rnacentral:rRNA from 1 species